UACAGAGGGUGCGAGCGUUGUCCGGAAUCACUGGGCGUAAAGGGCGCGUAGGCGGCCCGGUAAGUAGGGGGUGAAAUCUCGCGGCUCAACUGCGAGGCUGCCUCCUAAACUGUCGGGCUCGAGCACAGUAGAGGCAGGUGGAAUUCCCGGUGUAGCGGUGGAAUGCGUAGAGAUCGGGAAGAACAUCGGUGGCGAAGGCGGCCUGCUGGGCUGUUGCUGACGCUGAGGCGCGAAAGCGUGGGGAGCAAACAGG
rnacentral:rRNA from 1 species